CCUACAUGCUAGUUGCUAGCGACCUACCGAGAGGCAGUGCAACUGUCAGUGCAAGUUGUCAACAUGUUCGGCAUUUGUUGUUCCUGGCACGAGGACCUGUUUGUCUUCGGAGACCCUCUUCCAGGGGGCAUGAAAGCCCCCAGACAACAUAGCUCCUAGGAUCAUUGGGACACGCAAACUCCUCUACCACGGUGACAAGACAGCAGAGAGGCUGGAGGAGAUGGAGGAGGAGAGGCCAGAUAAGAUAGAGGGAGAGAGGCAGGAGGAAGUAGAGAAGGAGAGGCUGGAGAUUAUUACAGUUCAUUUAUGUUUAUUUACAAUGUUGUAUUGCAUUAUUGUAUUUCUGAUGUUGUUGAUGGACAGUAAGCUAUGUUAAAUGACAGU